rnacentral:rRNA from 2 species
AGUAGUCAUACGCUCGUCUCAAAGAUUAAGCCAUGCAUGUGUAAGUGUAAAUAUACUAGUUUGGAACUGCGAAUGGCUCAUUAUAUCAGUUAUAGUUUAUUUGGUGAAGUGUACUACUUGGAUAACCGUAGUAAUUCUAGGGCUAAUACAUGAGAAAGUCCUCUGGUGAGGUGUGUUUAUUAGAAUGAAAACCAUAUGCUUCGGCAUGAUAGUGAGUAAUAGUAACCUAUCGUAUCGCAUGCUUAAUGUAGCGAUGAGUCUUUCAAGUUUCUGCCCUAUCAGCUUUCGAUGGUAGUAUAUGGGCCUACCAUGGCAGUAACGGGUAACGAAGAA